GAGAUGCUUGCCGCACAAGCCGU
rnacentral:siRNA from 1 species